rnacentral:rRNA from 1 species
GACGAACGCUGGCGGCGUGCUUAACACAUGCAAGUCGAACGCUGAAGCUCAGCUUUUGUUGGGUGGAUGAGUGGCGAACGGGUGAGUAACACGUGAGUAACCUGCCUCCUUCUUUGGGAUAACGCCCGGAAACGGGUGCUAAUACUGGAUAUUCACUGGUCUUCGCAUGGGGGUUGGUGGAAAGGGUUUUUCUGGUGGGGGAUGGGCUCGCGGCCUAUCAGCUUGUUGGUGGGGUGAUGGCCUACCAAGGCUUUGACGGGUAGCCGGCCUGAGAGGGUGACCGGUCACAUUGGGACUGAGAUACGGCCCAGACUCCUACGGGAGGCAGCAGUGGGGAAUAUUGCACAAUGGGCGCAAGCCUGAUGCAGCGACGCCGCGUGAGGGAUGGAGGCCUUCGGGUUGUGAACCUCUUUCGCUCAUGGUCAAGCCGCAACAAUGGUUGUGGUGAGGGUAGUGGGUAAAGAAACGCCGGCUAACUACGU